rnacentral:snRNA from 1 species
AUAGCGAACAAGUACCGC